rnacentral:lncRNA from 1 species
CAACAUGGUUCAGAAAGGAACAAGGACUAAUUUGUUGCUUCCAUUUUCCUUAAAAACUACAUACAAAAAUACCCUUUAGAAAGUCAUAUUCUUUUCAGUGAAAUCCUGUCUCUUACUGUGUUCCCCAGCCUUGGUAAUAUCACUGAGCACCACCCAUUGCUUGAAGAAAGUGUUUCUCAUUAGUUCAUCAAGCGGGACAAUAGUUUCUCUUGCACAUCAGAGCGGAGAGGUGCAACGUCAUUCUUAGAAAACAGAGACACAGGGAAACAAAUUAGAGAACUAAAGAAUCCCAAUGAAUAUUAAUGAAAGAUGGACAAUUUUCAGACAGAGCUUUGAAGAUUCGGGAGUGAUCUGAUUGUGACAAUGAUGGCAAUAGCAUUGAGAACAUGUAAUAGAAAAGCUGUAAUGCAACUCUAAGCAUGGCAUUGAGGAAGACAGUGAUAGAGUGAAGAAAUAGUGUCUGUUUUCCUGUUUCUCCUGCGUGAUUUUGGCAUAAAGAGAACUCCAGAGGAGAUCUGUUAUCAAACAAGUAGCUGUGUACAAAGACUAGUCUGUGACAUCAGUCUUUUGGAAAGAGAGUCCUUAUGUGUGUGGCUGACAGCGAAGGUGACAGGACUUAUGACUCAAAUUUGUCUCUCCAACCAGGGAUCUGGGAAAGUUUAUGGGACCAGUAGGAAAAGGAGGUAUACAUAACCACUGGUGAG